rnacentral:rRNA from 1 species
UAAGGGCGCACGGUGGAUGCCUUGGCACUAGAAGCCGAUGAAGGACGUUACUAACGACGAUAUGCUUUGGGGAGCUGUAAGUAAGCUUUGAUCCAGAGAUUUCCGAAUGGGGAAACCCAGCAUGAGUUAUGUCAUGUUAUCGAUAUGUGAAUACAUAGCAUAUCAGAAGGCACACCCGGAGAACUGAAACAUCUUAGUACCCGGAGGAAGAGAAAGAAAAUUCGAUUCCCUUAGUAGCGGCGAGCGAAACGGGAAGAGCCCAAACCAACAAGCUUGCUUGUUGGGGUUGUAGGACACUCUAUACGGAGUUACAAAGGACGACAUUAGACGAAUCAUCUGGAAAGAUGAAUCAAAGAAGGUAAUAAUCCUGUAGUCGAAAAUGUUGUCUCUCUUGAGUGGAUCCUGAGUACGACGGAGCACGUGAAAUUCCGUCGGAAUCUGGGAGGACCAUCUCCUAAGGCUAAAUACUCUCUAGUGACCGAUAGUGAACCAGUACCGUGAGGGAAAGGUGAAAAGCACCCCGGAAGGGGAGUGAAACAGAACCUGAAACCGUGUGCUUACAAGUAGUCAGAGCCCGUUAAUGGGUGAUGGCGUGCCUUUUGUAGAAUGAACCGGCGAGUUACGAUUUGAUGCAAGGUUAAGCAGUAAAUGUGGAGCCGUAGCGAAAGCGAGUCUGAAUAGGGCGUUUAGUAUUUGGUCGUAGACCCGAAACCAGGUGAUCUACCCUUGGUCAGGUUGAAGUUCAGGUAACACUGAAUGGAGGACCGAACCGACUUACGUUGAAAAGUGAGCGGAUGAACUGAGGGUAGCGGAGAAAUUCCAAUCGAACCUGGAGAUAGCUGGUUCUCUCCGAAAUAGCUUUAGGGCUAGCCUCAAGUGAUGAUUAUUGGAGGUAGAGCACUGUUUGGACGAGGGGCCCCUCUCGGGUUACCGAAUUCAGACAAACUCCGAAUGCCAAUUAAUUUAACUUGGGAGUCAGAACAUGGGUGAUAAGGUCCGUGUUCGAAAGGGAAACAGCCCAGACCACCAGCUAAGGUCCCAAAAUAUAUGUUAAGUGGAAAAGGAUGUGGCGUUGCCCAGACAACUAGGAUGUUGGCUUAGAAGCAGCCAUCAUUUAAAGAGUGCGUAAUAGCUCACUAGUCGAGUGACACUGCGCCGAAAAUGUACCGGGGCUAAACAUAUUACCGAAGCUGUGGAUUGUCCUUUGGACAAUGGUAGGAGAGCGUUCUAAGGGCGUUGAAGCAUGAUCGUAAGGACAUGUGGAGCGCUUAGAAGUGAGAAUGCCGGUGUGAGUAGCGAAAGACGGGUGAGAAUCCCGUCCACCGAUUGACUAAGGUUUCCAGAGGAAGGCUCGUCCGCUCUGGGUUAGUCGGGUCCUAAGCUGAGGCCGACAGGCGUAGGCGAUGGAUAACAGGUUGAUAUUCCUGUACCACCUAUA